rfam:Beta vulgaris subsp. vulgaris contig149257.1, whole genome shotgun sequence.
UCAACGGUUCUUUUCAGAACCAAUCACACAUUGUAAGAGAAUCUUU